GAUGAACGCUCGCGGGAGGCCUAACACAUGCAAGCCGAGCGGUAGAGAUUCUUCGGAAUCUUGAGAGCGGCGUACGGGUGCGGAACACGUGUGCAACCUGCCUUUAUCAGGUGGAUAGCCUUUCGAAAGGAAGAUUAAUACCCCAUAAUAUAUUUGAUGGCAUCAUUAGAUAUUUACAGCUUUGGCGGAUCGAGAUGGGCACGCGCAAGAUUAGAUAGUUGGUGAGGUAACGGCUCACCAAGUCGAUGAUCUUUAGGGGGCCUGAGAGGGUGAUCCCCCAAACUGGGACCGAGACACAGACCAGAAUCCCACGGGAGGCAGCAGGGAGGAAUAUUGGACAAUGGGUUAGCGGCUGAUCCAGCCAUCCCGCGUGAAGGAAGACGGCCCUAUGGGUUGUAAACUUCUUUUGUACAGGGAUAAACCUACUCUCGUGAGAGUAGCUGAAGGUACUGUACGAAUAAGCACCGGCUAACUCCGUG
rnacentral:rRNA from 1 species